GCGGGCGUAGUUCAGUGGCAAGAACGCAAGGUUUCCAACCUUGAUGUCAGGGGUUCGAGUCCCCUCGCCCGCUCCG
rnacentral:tRNA from 1 species